UACGUAGGGGGCAAGCGUUGUCCGGAAUCAUUGGGCGUAAAGAGCGCGUAGGCGGUCCGGUAAGUCCGCUCUGAAAGUCCGGGGCUCAACCCCGGGAGGCGGGCGGAUACUGUCGGGCUAGAGUCCGGAAGAGGCGAGUGGAAUUCCUGGUGUAGCGGUGAAAUGCGCAGAUAUCAGGAGGAACACCGAUGGCGAAGGCAGCGCGCUGGGACGGUACUGACGCUGAGGCGCGAAAGCGUGGGGAGCAAACAGG
rnacentral:rRNA from 1 species